UGGGCGCAAGCCUGAUCCAGCCAUGCCGCGUGAGUGAUGAAGGCCCUAGGGUUGUAAAGCUCUUUCGCCAGGGACGAUAAUGACGGUACCUGGAUAAGAAGCCCCGGCUAACAUCGUGCCGGCAGCCGCGGUCAUACGAAGGGGGCUAGCGUUGUUCGGAAUCACUGGGCGUAAAGCGCACGUAGGCGGAUCUUUAAGUCAGGGGUGAAAUCCCGAGGCUCAACCUCGGAACUGCCUUUGAUACUGGAGGUCUCGAGUCCGGGGGAGGUGAGUGGAACUGCGAGUGUAGAGGUGAAAUUCGUAGAUAUUCGCYAGAACACCAGUGGCGAAGGCGGCUCACUGGCCCGGUACUGACGCUGAGGUGCGAAGGCGUGGGGAGCAAACAGGAUUAGAUACCCGGGUAGUCCCCGCCGUAAACGAUGGAUGCUAGCCGUUGGGCAGCUUGCUGUCCAGUGGCGCAGCUAACGCUUUAAGCAUCCCGCCUGGGGAGUACGGUCGCAAGAUUAA
rnacentral:rRNA from 1 species